UUCACCUUCCUGUAGCAAGGCUAACUCUCACUUAUCCCCUGUGGCUGGACCUGCUUGCCUCUGAACCGCCUGCCUUGUUGUAAUCUUGGAAAUCGCCUCUUCCCCAGCUCCUCUCAUGUUCAUGCAACAAGGCUGUUGAGUGAGUUUACUUGUUUACUUUCCUGAGGAUUUAUGUGCUUUCUGGAACUCCUACUGUGUCCUAAACCGUGCACGUGCUGUGGAUACUGCCCUGCUUGCUUCCAAAACAUCUGCCUGGACUCAACUUACCCUUCAACUGCUCCUUACUUCAUUCACUGAUGUCACCUGGAUUUGAACCUGCUGCUUCCUCAACCACAGCGAUUGUUAGGUCUCUCAUGGACCAAGCCUGUUUCAAAGACUAUGGGAUUUACAAUCAGAGUCCAGUGCUGCUGAUAGUCCAGCUGGCGGGCUCAGCUCCGGCCUGAUUCAGUUGAUUUCAAGAUUGUUGGUGGUGCCAUAAGAUGAUCUCCUGGCGACUGAGUGCCAUGUCCUGGCAUGGAGAACUGGUGGACAGACUCUCUCCUAAAGCCAGUUUUAUCCACUGAAAGGCUUUGAGCUGAGCAGGAAGUGUAAAGAGGAGUGGACUGACACUCUAGGAGAAGGGGUUGCAGUAAGGUCAGACUCUUCACGUUACCUACUUUCCUCUCUCCAUCUGUCUGACUAGGGCUAUCUUCUCUGCACACGUUCAUAUAAUUUCACGGCAGAAACAAUGUUCAAAAUGUCACCAGUUGAGGUUGAAACUUGUGUUUUCUGAGAGAGCUGGGUCAUCUUAUAUCCGGCGUGUAUUAGGGUCACAUGACAAGCCAUGGUUUGGAGAGCGAGCGAGGGAUGAGAGGAAGAGUUAAACAUGGAUAAAGGAGUUUAAAAGGAUAAAGGGUGUGAGAGGAUGAGGAUUAGUUGUUGUUUUCUCCACGGAUGGUUUGGUUUGUUCAGAGUCUGUCCGUGUGUUUGCGCAUGUUUUUGUGUAUUUGAGGGGCUGUAGAUGAUUCCUGAAGGUCACAAAAUGAUUCACCCAUUGGGGGAAAUAUAUUUAAAGAACAGCAUACAUUCCACCGCAGUUUAUUCACAUUUUUUUCUACACUUGGCAUAACUCAACAGUGGUCACACUGACCAGACGUGGGCUACUUCUUCUGUGUUUGUUCAGAUGCUGCUGCUGCUGCCUCUGAUGUUGUUAGCUUAGUUGUUGGCUAUCUCUGCUGUCACACAGUAACACACACUCUGCUGUCCUCUUGGCAGCCUCAAGACUUUCUUUUUUGUGGUUUUUAAAUCACAGCGACUUCUCAGAAGCGUGCAGUCACUAAUGGAGCCAAAAGUAAACUUCAUUUUUCACCAUUAACAUCUGUCAUUUUAUGAUUACAAAAAUAAAGGCCGAAUUAGACCACAA